UACAGAGGGUGCGAGCGUUAAUCGGAAUUACUGGGCGUAAAGCGUGCGUAGACGGUUAUUUAAGUCGGGUGUGAAAGCCCCGGGCUCAACCUGGGAAUUGCAUUCGAGACUGAAUAGCUAGGGUACGGUAGAGGGAAGUGGAAUUUCCGGUGUAGCGGUGAAAUGCGUAGAUAUGCGGAGGAACACCGAUGGCGAAGGCAGCCCCCUGGGCUAACACUGACGCUCAUGCACGAAAGCGUGGGGAGCAAACAGG
rnacentral:rRNA from 1 species